AAUCGAACCCGGAGAUAGCUGGUUCUCCUCGAAAUAGCUUUAGGGCUAGCCUCAUGGAUCAUUGAUGGGGGUAGAGCACUGAAUGUGCGCGGGGGCCACAAAGCCUACCAAACGCUAUCAAACUUCGAAUACCAUACAAUGCAGACCAUGGGAGUCAGUCCGCGAGAGAUAAGUUCCGCGGGCAAAAGGGGAACACCCCAGAUCAACCGCUAAGGUCCCCAAGUUCACGUUAAGUGGAGAAGGAUGUGGAAUUGCACAGACAACCAGGAUGUUGGCUCAGAAGCAGCCACACAUUUAAAGAGUGCGUAAUAGCUCACUGGUCGAGUGAUUGUGCGCCGAAGAUGUCCGGGGCUAAACGUGACACCGAAGCGAUGGGUGCAUCUGAAAGGAUGCGCGGUAGAGGAGCAAUGUGCAGAGGCAGAAGCCGUAUCGAGAGGCACGGUGGACACUGCACAAGAGAGAAUGCCGGUAUGAGUAGCGAGAGGCAUGCGAGAAACAUGCCCGUCGAAAGCCCAAGGUUUCCUGGGGAAGGUUCAUCCGCCCAGGGUAAGUCGGGGCCUAAGCCGAGGACGGAAGUCGUAGGCGAUGGACAGCAGGUGUAGAUUCCUGCACUACCGAUGGAAUGAAGCAGUGACACAGAAGGAUAACUCGAGCAGGGUGAUGGUCAACCCUGUGCAAGCAUCAAGGUUGGGUUGUAGUGAAGUACGCAACCCUAUAAGCUGAGGUGUGAUGCGGACCGAAAUUUCAGUAGGGAAGCGAGUGAGUUCACGCUGGCGAGAAAAGCUGCUAGUAUAUCCAAAGGUACCCGUACCGGAAACCGACGCAGGUGGGCGAGGAGAGAAUCCUGAGACGAACGGGAGAACCCUUGUUAAGGAACUCGGCAAAAUGACCCCGUAACUUCGGGAUAAGGGGUGCCUGCGAGAGCAGGCCGCAGAGAAUAGUCACAAGCGACUGUUUAGCAAAAACACAGGUAUCUGCGAAAGCGAGAGCUGACGUAUAGGUGCUGACACCUGCCCGGUGCUGGAAGGUUAAGGGAACAUGUUAGAGCAAUCGAAGCAUCGAACCGAAGCCCCAGUAAACGGCGGCCGUAACUAUAACGGUCCUAAGGUAGCGAAAUUCCUUGUCGGGUAAGUUCCGACCCGCACGAAUGGUGUAACGACUUGUGAGCUGUCUCAACAGGGGGCCCGGUGAAAUUGAAGUAUGGGUGAAGAUGCCCAUUACCCGCGACUGGACGGAAAGACCCCGUAGAGCUUUACUGCAGCCUGAUAUUGAGUUUCGGUAACUGAUGCACAGGAUAGGUGGGAGUCUGAGAGACAUGGGUUUCGGCUCGUGUGGAGACGGUGUUGGGAUACCACUCUUCGGUUACUGAAAUUCUAACAUAGCUCUGUGAAACCAGAGGAUGGACAGUGUCAGGUGGACAGUUUGACUGGGGCGGUCGCCUCCGAAAGAGUAACGGAGGCGCCCAAAGGUACCCUCAGAAUGGAUGGAAACCAUUCGAAGAGCGCAAAGGCAGAAGGGUGCCUGACUGCGAGAUUGACAAAUCGAGCAGAGACGAAAGUCGGGCUUAGUGAUCCGGCGGUAUUGAGUGGAAAAGCCGUCGCUUAACGGAUAAAAGCUACCUCGGGGAUAACAGGCUGAUCUCCCCCAAGAGUCCACAUCGACGGGGAGGUUUGGCAC
rnacentral:rRNA from 1 species